UACGGGGGGAGCAAGCGUUUGUUCGGAUUUACUGGGCGUAAAGGGCGCGUAGGCGGCGCAACAAGUCACUUGUGAAAUCUCCGGGCUUAACCCGGAGCGGUCAAGUGAUACUGUCGUGCUAGAGUGCGGAAGGGGCUACUGGAAUUCUCGGUGUAGCGGUGGAAUGCGCAGAUAUCAGGAGGAACACCGAUGGCGAAGGCAGGUCUCUGGGCCGAUACUGACGCUGGAGGAGCGAAAGCGUGGGGAGCGAACAGG
rnacentral:rRNA from 1 species